rnacentral:rRNA from 1 species
GACGAACGCUUGCGGCGCGCCUAAUACAUGCAAGUCGAGCGAGAAAGUUCUUCGGAAUGAGUACAGCGGCGGACGGGUGAGGAACACGUAGAUAAUCUGCCUUAAAGUGGGGAAUAGCUACUCGAAAGAGUAAUUAAUACCGCAUAAGACCACAAGAUCUGAGGAUCAAGGGGUUAAAGGAGCAAUUCGCUUUAAGAUGAGUCUGCGUCCGAUUAGCUAGUUGGUGAGGUAAUGGCUCACCAAGGCGAUGAUCGGUAACUGGUCUGAGAGGAUGGCCAGGCACACUGGAACUGAGACACGGUCCGGACGCCUACGGGAGGCAGCAGUAGGGAAUAUUGCACAAUGGACGAAAGUCUGAUGCAGCGACGCCGCGUGAGUGAUGAAGGCCUUCGGGUCGUAAAACUCUAUGAUAAGGGAAGAUGAUGACGGUACCUUAUCAGAAAAGACCGGCUAACUUCGUGCCAGCAGCAGCCGCCG